rnacentral:lncRNA from 1 species
AAACAUAGCUUAUUUGAAAGAUGACAGGAAAGAUAAAGAGCGCAAUAUUUGAAUGCAAAAAAGGUCCAUUGAUUUAUUGAAUGUGAAUAUGCUUAUGAAAAUGACAAAACCUUUAACAAAAUUUAGAGCGCAAUAUUUGAAUGCAAAAAAGGUCCAUUGAUUUAUUGAAUGUGAAUAUGCUUAUGAAAAUGACAAAACCU